GAAUAUUGCGCAAUGGGCGGAAGCCUGACGCAGCGACGCCGCGUGAGCGAAGAAGGCCUUCGGGUCGUAAAGCUCUGUCCUUGGGGAAGAAGGCGAAAGCUUGACGGUACCCAAGAAGCAAGCCCCGGCUAACUACGUGCCCGCCGCCGCGGUAAUACGUAGGGGGCGAGCGUUGUCCGGAAGUACUGGGCGUAAAGGGUGCGUAGGCGGCCUUUUAAGUCAGAUGUGAAAGGCUGCGGCUUAACCGCAGGACUGCAUUUGAAACUGGAAGGCUUGAGUGUCGGAGAGGGUAGUGGAAUUCCCAGUGUAGCGGUGAAAUGCGUAGACAUUGGGAGGAACACCAGUGGCGAAGGCGACUACCUGGACGAUAACUGACGCUGAGGCACGAAAGCUAGGGGAGCAAACAG
rnacentral:rRNA from 1 species